rnacentral:rRNA from 1 species
ACGUAUGUCGCAAGCGUUAUCCGGAUUUAUUGGGCGUAAAGCGCGUCUAGGCGGUUUGGUAAGUCUGAUGUGAAAAUGCGGGGCUCAACUCCGUAUUGCGUUGGAAACUGCCAAACUAGAGUACUGGAGAGGUGGGCGGAACUACAAGUGUAGAGGUGAAAUUCGUAGAUAUUUGUAGGAAUGCCGAUGGGGAAGCCAGCCCACUGGACAGAUACUGACGCUAAAGCGCGAAAGCGUGGGUAGCAAACAG